UUCGCAAUGCCCGAAAGGGUGACGAAGCGACGCCGCGUGUGGGAAGAAGGCCUUCGGGUUGUAAACCACUGUCGGGAGUUAAGAAAUGUAAGGGUGUUAAUAGCGUCCUUACUUGACUAAGGCUCCGGAGGAAGCCACGGCUAACUCUGUGCCAGCAGCCGCGGUAAUACAGAGGCGGCAAGCGUUGUUCGGAAUUAUUGGGCGUAAAGAGCACGUAGGCGGCCUUGAAAGUCAGUUGUGAAAGCCUUCUGCUUAACGGAAGAACUGCAUCUGAUACUACAGGGCUUGAGUGCGGGAGGGGAGAGUGGAACUUCUGGUGGAGCGGUGAAAUGCGUAGAUAUCAGAAGGAACGCCGGCGGCGAAAGCGGCUCUCUGGCCCGUAACUGACGCUGAGUGUGCGAAAGCUAGGGGAUCAAACGGGAUUAGAUACCCCGGUAGUCCUAGCCGUAAACGAUGGGCACUAAGUAGAGGGGUUUU
rnacentral:rRNA from 1 species